rnacentral:rRNA from 1 species
GAGAGGGUCUAGGCCGGCGGCGCGCGGGCUUCUUGGGGCGGGGGGGAGGAGCUGCCUGCGGGCCGCUCUACGGCGCGCUGGCGCUGCUCGGCCGCCGGCACGCGCAGAUGUGCCAGACGCUGCUCAGGUUCAUGGAGCAGCAGGCCUUGCACGGCCGGGAGCCUACGCCGCUGCUCGAGCCGAGGCACAAGCGCCGCAUGCCGGGCGACCUUCUCACGUUCGGGUACCUGCGGCUCCUGACGCUCCUCAUGUGGCUGCAGAUGAAGUAGUUCAAGCGCGUCCAGUCGUUGCGCUCCAAACGUUUCUCCUUCAACCUGCUCAGACAUAAAGAACCGUUGGCCGACGUCCAAAGUAUACGUGGAGUCAAACUUUCAGAAGACCUAUGGUUCCUCUUUGACCUUCAGUCCUCUUUACUUCAGGAGUCUGCUUAUUCUAGUGGACGACCUUCGUCUGGACUUCCCGAUAGUGUCAUAAGUGGCCCAGUCCCUAGUAGAUCACCCUUGGGUGUGGUAGUAUACUUGAGGUUGUUCUCCCUUAUGUACUUCUGUUACGGGCGAUGAGUAUAGCUUCUACUAGCAAAGUCGGUACACGGGAGAUUAUUCCUGAUAAAGGGCAGGCUCAGCUACUUACGUUGACAUUUAGAUCACUCCGUCUUCGAACUGUUCUAUGUCAGGCCGCCGCUGCGAGGGCUACGACGACGGCGGCGUAGGUUCUUUGGUGCCCGGCUAUUGGCGUCCGCAUAAACUUGGUAACCUACUGUGUCCACUCCUCAUUGGCACUGGGUUAGCGAACGAACAAUACACGCAAUAUUUGCGUGGCAGAAAGAGUACUGUCCAGUUGAGUUGUGUGACACUACACUUAGGCUUCUGAAAGCGGCAAACUAAAAAAUAAAAUAAAAAACGAUGAGGCUAAAUAAAUAAACGAAUGAGAUCUUUUAUACAAACAUUCAUUCUCACAUUCUGUACCAGAGAAGAUCUUCGCUACACCAUCAUCGUUGAGAAAAAAAAAACCUGUAUUACACCACCAUCAUCGUUGAAUUAAUACGACUACACCUACGACCACCAUCGGUCUGUCGAGAUCGUUCGAUCCGUACACAGAAAACCGACUC